rnacentral:lncRNA from 1 species
GUUAAUUAAGGUCAUUCCAUUCGCCAGCAGACCUUCAACAGCAGUCCAACACCCACUCUCCAUGGACCAAAUGAUGCUGGUCUGAGGUUGUCCAAGAGAACCAGGUGAAGGAAAGCCACAACCUCAGUGAUCAAAGGAAAACUCACAGGUACAAGAGGAAAGGCUUAAUAGCCCUAUUUUCAGAUAAGAAAAAUAACAUUCAAAGAAAGCCAAAUACCACCGAACCACAUUAUUUUGAUGAAUGGUGA